AUCACCUGGGGAUCUUGUUAAAAUGCAGGUUCUCAUUCAGUAGAUCUGGGGUGUGGGGGCAAGAAUCUGCAUUUUUGACAGGCUCCCAGAUGAUACCAA
rnacentral:pre_miRNA from 1 species